UACGGGGAGACCUAAAUCGUGACUCAAUUUGCCCUUUUAUAGAGGGAAUACAAGCGUGCUAAGGCUUAGAAAAAGCCACACUCGUCUAUAUCCCAUAUUUAAGGGGACCCUCAAGCAGAUGAACCCUAUAACUAGCAUGAAAUGCAAAAAUCCUAAAAUGGAGGGAAAAGGGGUUCGAGGGGCAUGCAAAAUGAUAAAAUUAAAAAAAAUGCAUGACAUGUAAUGAACAUGCAAACAUGUACUAACGAGGGGAAGUCCCUAAGGGUCUAGCGUUGGACUAGCCCAUUCUAUGAAUUCCGACUAGCGUUGGACUAGUGGAAACGUACAUUCAUCCAUCACAUUCAUUUAUAAAUAUAGAAAGCAAGUAGACAUGCAAAAUCACUUAUAACACGUAGCACAUAACACUUAGCAUGCUCGACUAGAUGCAAUAGCUUAAUAAAGCAAAUUAAACACAUAGCAAACCAAAUAAUACCCCAAAAGCAAAUGAAACUAUUACAUGGGCUAACUAAAACAAAUGGGGGAAGGGGGAAAAAUGGACAAAGUGCUCUCCAAUGCCCUAUCUAUUACAAGCCAAGAGGUGUACACAUACCCCAUAAAUAAAAUAAAAGAAAGACUUAAAAAUGAAAGGAAUUAAAGAAAACUUAAGAAAGCCAAGUAGACAUGCAAUUCACGUAACACGUAGGAGCACGUAAGAGAGAAGUAAAGAGGAUAAAAGAAAGUUAUACCUUCCCCUAAUGGUAAGCAAAUGAAGGAAAAUGGCUUCAAAACAAUAAAGGGGUCAAGGCAUCAAUUUAAAAGUAAAGUAUAAGCAAAAACAUCAAAAACCACCUAAUUGCAACUUGAAUGAGCUCAAAAAAUGCUUAAAGACCAAGAAAACGGAAUAACCCGUUCAAUUUCCAAAUAUAGCAUCUACUAAAGACCCAAAACAAGCAUUACUCGAACAUUCAAGUCCAAAUAAAUUGUUUAAGCACUUCAAAGAUCUUAAAAAUAAAGGAAAAGUCAAACAAAGAUUGAAGUUGCAAUGAUUUUAGGACUUAAUUACAAGAUACUAGAACAUGCUUGGGCUCUUGUGGAACAAAAAGAAACUUAAAAGGAUCAAAUUGAUUAAAUGUUCCAAUUACUUGGGCCCUAGUGAGUCAAGAGGGGACUUGGGGGGUUAAAAAUGUAAUUUUCAGAAAUUAUUUCAUGCAAAACCCAUGCAAGCUACGUGAAAAUCAACAUGAGAAACAACAUUCUGCAGCAGAAAUUUCUGCUGAAAGCUUUCGGCAACCCAGAAGACAACCGUGACUUUCAUUUUCUCAACCUUAACACCAUUUUGAUCGAAAAAUCUUCUAACCAACACAUUAAAGCAUGAAUCUAACAACCAAACAAACAGGUAAAUCAAAUUCAAAGUGAGUUUCUGCAAUAUUUUCUCUCAUGUUUGCUCAAACGAAACCCAAUUCAAACUCACAUCUUAUUUUCCAAAAAAAAACAGAUCUCAAGCUCACAUACAUAGCUUUAACUAAGCUGCAAACUAUGUCAUCACCAUCGCCUCAACAGGUAGAAAAUUUAGAAGGAAAAAACAUGCAAGUUCUAUGCAAUAGCCAUGAAACAAGUUUCUGCAAUUACUUCACAUACUCUAGCAACCGAAGACUGCUGCACUUUCUUCUCAAGCUCAAGCUUCUUAAUCACAACCGUGAUCAAAUUUUCCAAACCAACCAAUUUCAUUCAGACCCAACAAACAGAAAACUUAGCAACUUUAUUCAAACAAACAGAAAAAUUAGCAACUUCAUUCAAACAGAAAAAUUAGCAAAACAUCAAAGGUUUGAAACUUCAGCAAACAAAUCUUUUGAGCUUAGGCAGUUCGCAUGGAAGCUGCACUCAAGCAUUUCGAAUCACAAACCCAUGCUCAAAAUCCUGUUAAGCUUCUCAUGCAUACAAACUACAACUUUCGGUCAAGGCUGGAAUUACUAUCUAACAAAAACAGCAAAGUUUGGAACCGCAAUGGAAGAAAAUAGCAAGACACAACCGUAAAUUUCUGGUGCAGCAAAAAAUGAAUAUGCAUUUUCCAGCAGGUAGUUGGUCUUAAAUCCGAAUUUACCUCGGUUGAAUCAUUGUGCUAAGUACUCAAAACUAACAUGCAAGGCUACUUAAUGAAAUUACUAUCAUAACUAGUUCAAAUCAAGUUCGGUCAGCAACUAUAAUCAUCCACAAUUCCAGAAAUUCUGUUCACCACCCUCGGAUGAACUUGCAUGUAGCAGUUUUCUGUUUCAUAUUUUUUCCUUGCUUAGCCGAACUAAUGAACUUCAUGCAAAGCUUAAUCACCUACUUCUUAGCUAGUUAAUCACAUUUAUAAGCUCAGCCUGCCUCAGGGGAACGAAAUUAAAAUUGCAUUUCCAUUUCAGCUUCUCGGCAAAGCUGGAAAAUUAGUUUAGCAGUCUAAUACUUCCAAUAAAAAAAAAUCCAGCCAUGCAACCGAAAUCCUGCCCAUAACGUUCACAUGCAGUACCAAAUAAAGAACUAUUUAGCAGGUUGAGUUCAAAAUUAAGCUCAGAUCAUCACAACUAGCAAAUUAAAAAAAAACCGAAACUUCCAGCUCAAGCUCUCGGCAGCUUCACUUCCUUCUCAAACAGAUUUUUCUGUGACUUAAACUAUCAUCUAGCCACACAAUCUCACAUGCAUGCUUAUAAACAACUUCAUCAAGCCAUAAUCAACUAGCUUAAGUCCAGAAAUUACCUCAGCUUAAGGCUCAAAUCACGCAACUAGCAGCUGCAAAAAUCCUCUACUCUCGGCUGUCCAGAAUUUCAGUCCGCAACUCUCCUUCUCCCUUGCUCUAGCUUGCGACCAGUAUGAAGACAAUAUGGCUCCCAAUCUCUUUCUAGUUUACAGACGAAAGGAAAUGGAUGAAAAGCUCACACGGACAGCAGCUGCAAUUUUUCCUCUCGGCAGCUCACGCACGCGAGGAUGGUUAGUCUGAAUUCAGUGGUUGCAGCUGUAAUGGUUGUGACUGAAUUGAUCACGGCUAGUUGAGGGUGAAAAAUGGAAUGGCAGCUCCCUCUCCCUCGCUGGUUUCCUCACUUCGAUGAUUCCAAGGUAGAGGGUGUUGUUGUAGCUCACCGAAAGCUCACUCAGACGACAGAAAGCUGAUGUUUCUCUCCUCUCUGCUCGCUCGCGGUUGGAUGUGUUGGUCCUGGUUGCGGAUGGUUGAAGCUGUGGUGUUUCGAUUGGAACUGGUGAAGAUGGUGAUGAUCAGUAGCUCACUCGACUGCCUCUUGCUCUCUCUCUCGCUUGACUUCCUCGGACAGAACAGAAAUACAGCUCGCGGCUCGCUCUCUCUUCACCUUUCUCCUGCUCAAUCCGAGGAGUUCUCCCUCUCUUGCUCUCGUCGAUGAUCACGAGGUGGAGAAUGGAGAUGGAGUGUUUGUGGUUGAGGCUGAGGUAGUGGAGUGAUUCGCGGUAGUGGAGGUUGAGUGUGUGUGUCGAGGGAAGGGAAUGCACUCCGGCAGAGAUGGAAAUGUUAUUUUUAUUUUUAUUUUUUAAUUAAUUAAUUAAACAACAAAAAUGAUAAUAAUAAAACAAUAAUAAUUAAUGAUGAAAACAACUUAAUUAACAUUAGAUAAAAAUAAACUAAAAACAACAAAAAAUGCAAAUUUCCAUUUUUCAUUUUCAUUUUUCACUUUUCUUUUGUUUUCGAAAUAACCUAACCAAAAAAUAAAUAAAGUCAAAAGAUUGAAUUUAAAAAGAAAUAAACCUAUUUUGUGAACAAUUUUCCUUUUUCUCUUUUUUCAUGAUUUUUCUACGCUAAAACUUAAAAAUAAAAAUAGAAACUAGAAACUAAAAAAAACUAAAAGCAACCACGAUAAAUGAGAAUAAAAAGUAAAAGAAAUUACACCAAAAAUUUGGUGUCUACAAUAUAUAAAAUGAUAUUAUCAAUUAUACUACUAAUUAUACAUGUUUAUUAAUAAAAUUUAUUAAUUAUUUAUACUAAAUUUGUUAAUACAUUUAUGUUAAAUUUCUAACUACACUUAAUGCAAUAACACUUUUUUCUAAAAAAAACACAAGAAUAAUUUAGUGAUUGUAUUUGUAUCAAAGUGAAAAUUUGAUUAUUUUAGUUAUAUUUGUUUUAUCAUAUUAGAUUGUAUUCAAAUAACCUUUGUUUAAUUAUUUUUAUGAGUUUUAAUUGUGAAGUUAGAAUGAAUAAUAAUUUGAUAAUGUGUUGAUAUUUUAGUACUUGAUUAUUUGCUUUAAUUUAAUUAUAAUGAAAUUAUAUAAUAAUUUUUUUUUAAUCUCACGGGUGUCCUGCGGAAAAAACGGGUAGAAUAGGACGGGAGCGGGGGCGGGGAAAUUAAAAGGGUUAAUUACAUUUAUCUCCCCUGAGGUAUAACCAAACUACCAGUCAAACCCUGAGGUUUGGUCAAAUAACAAAUAAACCCCUAUCACUAACUUCUGUUAAAUGUCCGUGACGGAAUGAGUAAAAUGACUACAUACCCAAAAUAGUUGAAACUGCCUGUCUUACAAACAUCGUGUACCUUCUUUUCUUUGUUUUUUUUUUUUUUUCCAAUUUUCUGGAACCCUUAAAGGUGACAACAAUGGCAGCAGGAAUGUUUGGGCUGCUGUUGCUGCAUCCAUCAUCAGCCAUAUGCGCCUGCCACCGUCGCCAAUCGUCGACUCCAGCCUCUUCAUCUUUCUUUUGUGUGGGUUGCCAUUCUUGAUACAAACUCAACCAAAACUCACUGCAUAACUGUUCAAAUAGGCCUACAUGUGAGGCUGAUCUGUCUUGCCUUUCCCAUCGGAAGCAAAGACCAAAUUCCACACUUUUGCAGUAAAGCACUUCUCAUUGGGGUAGAACACGAACAAGUCAAAUGAAUCAAUGUUGGCUACUUCCAUCUUUUGGACAGCAAGUUUUAACCUCAAAAUUGAAAAAAAAAAAGAAAAAAAAAAUUUAAAAAAUUGCAAGUGAAGAUUAAUCACCGGCUACUCCAUUACCUUCUUCAAAAACCCAUUUGGUAUCACUCACCAAAUUUAACACGAGCCUUUUUCCUAUCCCUUACCAAAUUUAAGACAAGCCUUUCAAAUGAUAUGAAGGACAAACUUCCAAAUCUCAACUUACAAAAAACUGGAAAAAAACAAAAAUUCCAUAUCUAGUAGCCAAGACAUUUUGAAGAUAAUAGUUUCACUUGUGUAUCUAAGCAAUACCAAAUGAUUUCUCUAGACAUGGUCUACCAAUUCUGGUGCAAAUCCAGCACUAUAAUGUCUGUAUCUUCAUAUGUUCGUAAUGGCUUAACCAAAGAAGAAAUAAAAAAUUGGAUGGAAGAGGAAAAGGUAACGACUUUGGUUUAGAAAGAUGGAUGAGGAGGAGAAAAGAUGGAAGAAUUAGAAUAUGUGAUAGAAUUGACGGCAAAGAAGGGUUAAUGGUUGGAAGCAAUUUAACAUACAAUUUUGGUGGAGAUGCAGACGCUGAAGUUGCAGACUUGAAAGGGAGUCUACCACACUACUUUUUUUCCCUUUUCUUUUUAUUAUUUUGAGGUGAAUUCUUAUUUUAUUCAAUUUGUUGGUUUAUAUUUUUUUUAUGUAAAACAUAAAAUGCCUCUAGAAGGGCAUUUUGGGAUUGCCGCGCUAAUUUUUUGCUAACCUUACCAGCUUCACUAACGACUCCAGACGGUAGGGAUGCUUUUGAUAAAGUUUUGCCUAGUCAGAGGGUUUGAUUGUUAUUUUGUCAAACCUCAAGAUUUGAUUGGUAAUUUGGUCAAAUCUCGGGGAGGUAAAUGUAAUUAACCCAAAUUAAAAUGCAACGGGGCGGGGGUUGGGGGCCGUGUCCCCCGCCCCAUUGCCACCCAUAUCUAAUACCCGCAAGAAAACUUCAAGAAAACCUCUGCAGAUGAAGCUGCAAUGAAGCAUCAAGCCAGGAGAUUCCUGACUAGUCACAGAUUCGCCAACUCGCUCCACUCAACUCGCCUGCCCAGAACUCGCUCUCUCCACACUCAGGUGACUCAGUUCUCUCACCACUCAUCCCCUUCUCUUUCUACCCGAAGUUCCCUUUCCCUUUCUUUGCUGGAUUUAAGAUCCCAAAUUGAAAAGCUGUCCAAAUCACGGAAGUCAGAAGCAUUAAGUAAUGAAAUCUUAUCAGAAAAUCGAGGAUUGCCUGAUUCUAUGAGGAUAUUACAUGAAGACCCAAAAUUUGAUUUACUCUUUUACAGGUGGGCCGCCGAGGAAAAUGGAUUUAGGCCAUGUUCAUCAAGUUAUAAUUCACAGCUGAAGUUGUGUGCUAUAAAUGAUGGAAUGAAGGAAUUUUUGGUUGUUGUCAGAAGUUGUAAAAGAAAGGGAACUUAUAUUGGUCAGAAGACAUAUUUAGAUAUUUAUUCGGAUCUUAGGAGAUUGAAAAGGGAUGAUGACGCUGCUGAGUUGCAGCUUUUUUAUGAGAACAUGGUUUUUCAAAAUGCUAUUAAGGGAGUUGCCAAGAUGGUGGCCCAGAAUUUGGAUUGGGGUAGUGAAUUGGAGGGAAAAUUGGGAGAAAUGAGGAUAUGGGUACAGGAGAAUUUUGUUUUAGGAGUAUUGAAGGAGCUUAAGGGAAAAGGUUUGCCUUUGAAGGCUUUGAGCUUCUUUAAAUGGGUUGGGGAGAGUUUGGGGUUUGAGCAUAAUAAUGCUACUUAUAAUCGGAUUCUUAGGAUUCUUUGCACGGAAGAAACGAUUACGGAGUUUUGGAGUAUAUUUGAGGAGAUGAAAGAUGCUGGUUAUGUAAUUGAUAGUGAUACUUAUGUUGAAGUGAUGUUGGAGUUUCAGAAGAGUAAGAUGGUGAAGGACGCGGUUGAGCUUUUUGAGUAUAGGAUGGGUACUCCAUUUAAGUAUUUGGAGGGGGAGUGUGGCUUGCUUUUUAAUGUCAUUUCAUCGACAAUUAAUCCAGACUUGGACCUGAUGUUUAAAGUUGUGAAGAAAUAUGAGGCAGCCGGGUAUUGUUUAUUGAAGAGUGACUAUGAGGGGAUCCAUAGGUGUUUGACUAGUGCUGGGAAGUUUGAUGAAGCAGAGAAGAUCAUCCAGACCAUGAGAAGGGCCGGUUAUAAUCAGUGUAACGUGACAUACAGACAAUUGAUUUUUGGACUUUGUAAAGCAGGGAGGCUAGAGGAAGCCUGUGAAGUAGUAGACAUGAUGGAAGUGCAGGGAUACAUUCCUGAUAUCAAGACUUGGAUCACACUAACAAAAGGGUAUUGUGAUGUUAAUGGAGUUGAUAAGGCACUUCCAUGGUUUGGAAUUUUGGUGAAAAAAGGCUUUGAUGCAUAUGCUGGUCUUUUGGAUUUUCUAGUAUAUGGAUUUCUGAAAGAGAAGAGGGUCAUUGGAGCAUACGAGUUAGUUGUGGAAAUGGUUGGCAAGGCUCACAUGAUACCAUGGCACGCUACAUUUAGGAAUCUGAUUGAAGAGCUUCUCGGAGAGAGGAGACUGGAAGAGGCCUUGAACCUUCUUCGGCUUAUGAUGAAACACGAUUAUCGACCAUAUCGAGAGCCUUUUGUCCAGUAUAUCUCAAAAUUUGGUUCCGUGGAGGAUGCUUGGGAAUUUUUGAUGGCACUAAGUAAAAAAACAUAUCCAUCUGUUUUGGCUUGCCAACGUGUUUUCAAGUCCUUCUUCAAUGAGGGUAGACAUUCUGAGGCCAAGGAGCUUCUUUUAAAGUGCCCUGAUCAUAUUAGCAGACGUCCUGCAAUUUGCAUCCUUUUUGGUUCAUAGAGCAGCAACCUAUAGGCAACUUCAGCCUGAGAUCAUGACUUAGAAGUACGUGUUUAGUUGAUACCUAAAUGUUCAUAAGGUUGUAAUUACAAAGGUACCAUGUGCACUGCUGAACUUUGCAGAGUGUAGAUUAGUAUUGAAAGUUUUCUCUUGCAAUGAGUAGAGGAAUAGUAAUGACUAGGAGCUUGUCUUGGCCAAAACUCCUGAGUCAUGGCUAAGGCCUUUAUUCCUUUUGGCCUUGAAAGACCCUCAGAUAUAUAAUCUAACAUCUAAGUCUUGGGAGGGAUACGAUUGUAUAUACUGCAUCUUUCAAGAAAUGUAUGUGCUUGCUCUAUCUGCAAAUCAUUUUCUUUUCAUGACAUGAUUUGGCAAUGUGCAGAGUCUUCAUGACGAACAUUUCACAGCAUUAUCUGCUUUCCAAACUCUUUAUCUCAGUAUUCGCAUGUCCAGAAGGUUCUCCUCCAUGGUUAUACAUCUUCAUUUGCUGAAUCAUGUUCUCCUACUUUUCUUUUGCAGUGCUCCUUUGCAUUGUAUGUACUUUUCUCCUGCUGUAUUCGCUAAUCUGGCCUCAAAUUUCUUUCACAUUCUGUCCAACAAGUAGAGUAGAAUACUUUGAAAUUGGUGUAUUGGUUAUGUAGUUAUUCUUACAGUCAUUGUUCGCCUUUUUGUUCAUCAUGGCUGGCAGAAAGACUCUUUACCCGGAUGGCCAAAUGGAGUUUUCCAUUAUCUUCUCUGAGAUCAGACACUUAGAAUUUUGGACAGUUACAAAUGAUUCAAUAUCUGUAUCAUAUGAAUUUUGGGGUCUACUAAUGCCUUUUUUUUUUUAUCGCACCAGUUAGAAGUUGGUUGAAACAAAUUAUUUUCUUGUCAUUCCUCAAAAACUGAAGAAUGUGAAUGUUCCUCAAAAUACUAUCAUGGAAUAGUGAAUUGGAAUGUGGGAAGCUCUUAUAUAAUGAAAGAUAGUGGAACUGGCUCUCAAAAUCAAAGGCAAUUAUCUUUGACCAUGUGGAUAACAUUUGAACAAGUAAAGCAUUCGCAAUUGUGAGUCUAAUGACUUGUUCUUAUGAAAAUGAUGAUAAAUCUGGGAAUAAUAGUUACUAUCCAAAUAGUUGAUUUCAGUAAAGAAUUUUCUUUUUCUAGAGGGCUUCAUAACAAAUCACUUGUAUAAAUGUUUGCCUCAGGCAUUGUUUAUGUCAGAGAAGUAUCUUAAUAUAAAUAAAUAAAUAAAACUAAUCAACAUAUAUAUAAGAUAGCAAACUUGUACCAAUUUCUCUUUCAUAAUUCUUCAAGAUAUUUCAUUAAGAAGGUCAUUACCUAUUCCUAAAGCUUUUUUUUUUUUUUUCAAGAACACAUGCAUCAUGAUGAAGUAACUUUAAAUUUGAGACUAUUGGAUUAUAUGGAUCACAUAGGAAAAGAUUGGCAAGGGGUGGCGGGUGCAAAACAAGAAAUAUAAGUUCAGAUGGGGACAAUUUUUAAUUGGCACAAACUUCUCUUGCGUAAAGCCGUAGACUAGCAUGUAGUACCUAAUUUUCCAAAAAAGGCCAUCUGUUUACUUGGAUCCGGAUGCGGGUCUUCCUUACCCGUACCAGGAACCCACUUUCCAACUCCUAAAACCCGCAAAAAAAAAAAAUCCCAUUUCAAGAAAACCUCUGCAAAUGACGGCGGAAGCAACAAUGAAGCAACAAGCCAGGAGACUCCUGAGUUGUCUCCGAUUCGCCAACUCGCUCCACUCAACUCACCUGCUGAGAACUCGCUCUCUCCACACUCAGGUGACUCGGUUCCCUCACUAUUUAUCCCCUUUUCUUUUCACCCGAAGUUCCCAUGACAGUGGUUAUUCGGCUCUUAGAUCCCAGCUUCAAAAGAUGGUAGAAGACAGACAGUCAGAAAGAGUGCUUUUCUCAGAGUUACAGAGAGAAGACAAUGCAAAUUCUCCCUUUUCCCAGUCGGAAACUGCUGGGAAAAGUUGGUUCAGGCCAUGUUCUUCAGGAUGUAGAUUAAAGCUGCAAUCGUGUGCUAUACGUAAUGAUAUGGAGGAGUUUGGGUUGUUGUUGAAAACGUUAGAAAAAGGGGAAAUUAUAUCGAUGAGGAGGCGUUUUUAGUUAUAGAAUCGAAACUUAUUAAGUUGGAUAGGGUUGAUGAUGCUAAGGAGUUGAAGCUUUUUUUUUAUCAAAAAUUGAUUCUUGAAAUUGCUAUUAAGAGAGCUGUGAAUUUGGUGGCCGAGAACUCGGACUGGGGCGGUGAAUUGGAGAGAAAAUUGGGAGAGAAUGGUAUAUCAGUGCAGGAGAAUUUUGUUUUGGGGGUGUUGGAGGGGCUUGGUAAAAAAGGUUUGCCUUUGAAAGCUUUGGGUUUUUUCAAAUGGGUUCGGGGGAGUUUGGGGUUUGAGCAUAAUAAUUUUACUUAUAAUUGGAUUCUUAGGUUUCUUUGCAGGGAAGAGGCGAUUUCGGAGUUUUGGAGUAUGUUCAAGGAGAUGAAAGAUGCUGGUUAUGUAAUUGAUACUGAUACUUAUAUUCAAGUGAUGAGGGAGUUUCGGACGAGGAAGAUGGUGAAGGACGCUGUUGAGCUUUUUGAGCAUAGGAUGAAUAGUCCAUUUCAGUAUUUGCCCAACGACUGUAGUUUGCUUUUGCGUGCCAUUGCAUCGACUGUUGAUCCUGACUUGGAUCUGAUGUCUAGAGUUGUGAAGAAAUACGAAGCUGCUGGGUAUUCUUUAUUGAAGAGGGACUAUGAGGGGAUCCACAGGUGCUUGUUGAGUGCUGGAAAGUUUGAUGAAGCAGAGCAGAUCGUACGGACCAUGAACAGAGCUGGUUAUGAACCAUCUAGUAUCAUCCACAAACAAUUGAUUUUUGGACUUUGUAAAGCAAGAAGGCUAAAAGAAGCCAUUGAAUUACUAGAUGAGAUGGAAGCUCAGGGAUGUGUUCCUGAUGUUGAGACUGGGAUGAUCGAACUACUGAGCUGUUGUUGUGAUAUCGAUGGAGUUGACAAGGCAUUCCUAUGGUUUGGAAAGAUGGUGAAAAAAGGCUUUGAUGCAGAUGCUGGUCUUGUGGAUGUUCUAGUCAAUGGAUUUCUGAAAGAGAAGAGGGUCAUUGAAGGAUACCAGUUUCUUGUGGAACUGGUUGACAAGGCUCGUGUGGCACCAAAGCAUGCUACACUUAAGAGUCUGAUUGAAGAGCUUCUUGUCUCCUGGAAGAAGCUUUGAACCUUCUACAGCUAAUAAAGAAACGGAAUUAUAAACCGGAUCCAGAGCCUUUCAUCCAGUAUCUGUCGAAGUUUGGUUCUGUGGAGGAUGCUUGGGUGUUUUUGAGGGCACUAAGUCACAGGCAGGGUAAAAACCAUGUAUCUGUCUUCGGUUGCAAACGUGUUUUUCAGACCUUCUUGAAUGAGGGUAGACAUUCUGAGGCUGAGGAGCUGUUUCGUAAGUGCCCUAAGUAUAUUCGCAGAAAUCCUGAAUUUCGCAUCCAUUUUUCUUCUUCAAGGAGCAGCGACGUGGUAGCAGCUUCAGCUUGAGAUCAUGAUGGAGUCAUGCAUUCCUUAGUAUUUAUCAUGGAAAGGCUUACUGAUGUUGUUUCUCCUCACUAGUCAAAAGAUGGUUGGUUGGUUGGAACAGAUUAUUUUCCUGUCAACUACACCUUCUUCCUUUUUUCAUUUUGUCGGUUAAGUUGUUCAAUGCAAUCAUUUAAAUUUGGCUUGUUUGGAUAGUCAUUUUCUAUCGAAAAAUGACCUUAUUUUCCGUGAACACAUUUUCCUAUCAUCUUUUUACCUCACAUACAUCAAAUCGCUACAGUAAUUUUUCAACGAAAAAUCCAUGAAAAAUGCAAUCGAAACGCAAAGUUUUUGAGUGAGAUCAGAUGUAACUUCGAAAAUUUUGAGGAUUCUAUAGGAUUUAUGUUUCUAAGCUAGAAAGGAAGACGCAGUUUACUAAUUCUUAGUUGGAAAAGAGCCCGCGUUUAGACUUUUAUUGAUUGGGAGGUCCAUACAAAUGAAAUGAUCAAUUAGUGGAGAAAAUUUUUGCGAAUGUCCAUCAAAGUUUGAGCAAAAAGUUAUGGUUAUACAAUACUGCAAACUCAUCGCUACUGAAUCUAUGGCAGCUAAAAUGCUAGAAUACCAGACUUGCUCCAUUUGUUUUAUCUUUUUUAAUCUUUCAGAGAUGAAAAUUUUGAGGUUCUUGAGUGAGAGUAUUAACUCGGAGAAAGUUACUGAAACAAGAAUCAUUACACUGAGAAUAGUGUAAAACAAGAACUUCCUUUCAAAUGUGAUCCCCAUCUCAUGAGUACAGUUACUGAUCCGGACCUUUUGCAGUCACCAGUACAAUUUAGAUAGGCAUUAGCAAAACACUAUACAACAAAAGUAGAAUACAAUUUGACACACUUUUUGAAGUUGUAUCACAAAAUUAAUCAUAUCUAUUCAAUUUCAAAUUAAAAUCAUCCCUAUCAUCAACUGCACCCUACAAUCUACACUGUGAUUAUAGUAGGAGCCCCUCUUCCAUUUGAAUUCGAGCUUGAACUGUGUAAUUCGAAUGUGUAUUGUGGAUAUCACACCACACUCCAAAUGAUAAAGGAUAGGUUUAGGUGGAAAUUUUGGAUGUGAAUUCUGCAAUUUGAAAAAAAAAUGACUUUUUACAGUGACAAAUGUUUGAGUGGAGAGGGCAAGGACAUUGCCUCAAGGUGGUAAAAAACACCCUCUUCCUAUGGCAUUUUUUUUUUUUUUUCCGAAAUGAUAAGUGAUUUUAUAGAUUAUCAAAAGUUUUAUAAUUUCAAAUAAGGACUCGAUAGAACUAUACAAUUAGUGUACUUCGAUACUAAAGAAUCCAAAGUUCCUCAUCUUGAUUUGUAUCUAGAGCAUAUGAGCUAAUUCUAUUACUAAUAUGAUUAUGAUCCUUGCUGACUAGACAAAAUGAGCACAAUUGAAACAACAACUUUAAAUGAAGAAUGCCUUCCAACAAGGUAAUCUCUUCCCAUGGCAUAUGUUAGGUUGAAUCCUAGUUUUGUCAUUGAAACAACCAAAUCCUCUCUUAAAGUAUCAAUUGAUGAACUCAAAAUGUAAAACCAAAAAGGGGGAGCAAAAUUCACAUUGAUGAGUGUAAUGACCACUUUUCGCAACAAAAAAAAAAGGUUUGAUAUCGAUAGUUAUUGUCUAAAUCAUUAAUAGUUUGACAUCAAUAGUUUGAUACUAGGUCUGAGAAAAGAAAAUUCUUUUGUGGUGGGGCUUGAAAAAAAUCAUUUGCAUGUCACAACUAGAAAUAAUGCAUAACUAUGAAAAUUUGCUAAGUAGUCUAACUGAUGUGCUUACCGUUGAACUUAAUUUCCCAAAAAGCCCUUGUCUAUUCACUUGGAUCCGGGUCCGGGGACUUCCUUACCAGUACCGCGAUCCCACUUCGCAACCUCUUAAACCCUCAAUAAAAUCCCUUUUCAAGAAAUUCUCUGCAUAUUAAGCAACCAUGAAGCAUCAAGCCAAGAGACUCCUGAGUUGUCUCCGAGUCGCCAACUCGCUCCACUCAACUCACCUGCUCAGGACUCGCUCUCGCCACACUCAGGUGACUGGGUUCCCUCACCACUCAUCCCCAUUUUUUCCCACCAAAAUUUUCUAUCCAGUUUCUUCUUUGCAUGAAUCCCAUCAUAGAAAACUGUUCUUUUCAACAAAAUCAGAGCCAAUUUUUGAUGAAUUAUUAUCCAAGGAUUGGGCUAAAGGGUUAGAAAAAGAGCUAUCAAGUUUAAAUCCAAGAUUGACCCAUGAAACUGUUUUGUAUAUUCUAAUGAAAUUAGGUAAAGAACCAGAAAAAGCUUCAAGCUUUUUCAAGUGGGCCAUUGAGGAAAAGGGGUUUCGGCCAAGUACUUCUAUUUAUAGUCUAAUGCUGAGAAUUUAUGCUAAAAAUCAUGCAAUGAAGGAAUUUUGGGUUGUUAUCAAAGAAAUGAAAGAAAAGGGGUAUUAUAUUGAUGAGGAGACAUAUGCAAGUAUUUACUCAGAUUUUCGGAAUUCGAAAUUGAUUAAUGAUGCUACUGCUCUGAAGCAUUUUUAUGAGAGAAUGAUACAAGAAAAUGCUAUGGAGACUGUUGUGCAAAGGGUGGUUGAGGUGGUCAAGAAUUCGGAUUGGAGUAGUGAAUUGGAGAGAGAGUUGGAGGACAUGAGGUUUUCGGUAUCGGAGAAUUUUGUUUUGAGGGUGUUGAAGGAACUUAGAGGAAAAGGCUUGCCUUGGAAAGCUUUGAGUUUUUUCAAAUGGGUUGGGGAGAGUUUGGGGUAUGAGCAUACUAGUGUUACUUAUAAUGGGAUGCUUAGGAUUCUUUGUAAAGGAGAGGUGGUUACGGAGUUUUGGAGUAUGGUUAAGGAGAUGAAAGAUGCUGGUUAUGAGAUUGAUAUUGAUACUUAUGUGAAAGUGAUGAGGGAGUUUCAGAAGAGUAUGAUGGUGAAGGAUGCAGUUGAGCUCUAUGAGCAUAUGAUGGAUAGUCCGUUUAAGCCUUUGGAGAAGGAAUGCAGUUUGCUUUUGCGUGCCAUUGCAUAUGCUCAGGAUCCUGACUUAGAUCUGAUGCUUAGAGUUGUAAAGAAAUAUGAGGAUGCUGGGUAUUGUUUAUUGAAGAAUGACUAUGAUGGGAUUCAUAGGUGUUUGACUAGUGUUGGGAAGUUUGAUGAAGCAGAGAAGAUCCUUGAGACCAUGAGAAAUGCUGGUUAUGAACCAGAUAACAUCACCUACAGCCAAUUGAUUUUUGGACUUUGUAAAGCUAAGAGGCUAGAAGAAGCCUGUGAAGUACUAGAUGUGAUGGAAGCACAAGGAUGUACCCCUGAUAUCAAGACUUGGACCAUACUAAUAAAGGGGUAUUGUGUAGUUAAUGAAGUUGACAAGGCACUGCUAUGGCUUGGAAAGAUGGUGGAAAAGGGCAUUGAUGCAGAUGCUGAUCUUUUAGAUGUUCUAGUGUAUGGAUUUCUGAUAGAGAAGAGGGUGGUUGGAGCAUACCAAUUAGUCGUGGAAAUGAUUGACAAGGCUCACGUGAGACCCUGGCAAGCUACAUUUAAGGAUCUGAUUGAAAAGCUUCUAGGAGAAAGGCGACUUGAAGAAGCCUUGAACCUUCUUCAUCUAAUGAAGAAACAGAAUUAUCCACCAUAUCCAGAACCUAUCAUCCAGUAUGUCUCAAAGUUUGGUUCUGUGGAUGAUGCUUGGGGGUGUUUGAUGGCAAUAAGUAACAAGCAAUAUCCAUCCGUGUCAGCUUACCAGCGUGUUUUCCAGUCCUUCUUUAAUGAGGGUAGACAUUCUGAGGCCAAGGAUCUGCUUUUCAAGUGCCCUCAUCAUAUCCGUAAACAUUCUGCUAUUAGCAGCCUUUUUGGUUCUUCAGAAAGCAACUUAGAAGCAGUUUCAACUUGAGACUAUUGACUUAUAAUUAUAGGUUUGGUUGAUAAUGUAUGGUUAUCCAACUUUAAUAUGCAAAGCUACCAUAUGCACACUGACCUAAUCCUGUGCCAAACUUUAUUAUGCAUUGAUUAUCAUUGAAAGUUCUUUGGCAAUAAAUAUAGGAGCUUGUCUUGGCCAAACUCUAAGUCAUGGCUGAAGGUUUUCUAUUUUCUUUUGGCCUUCAUGGCGCCCUCAGAUGUCCAUUCUGUUAUUCUAAACCUUUUGAGGCAUGUGUUGUGGUAUACUGCGUUAUUCAGGAGUUGCAUCUAAUUAGUCUUUCUUAAUCAUUUUCUCGUCAUGAAGCUUUUAUCAUGUUAUGCUUCAUUGCUUUGUAAUUCAGAGUGUUGGUUGACAAAAAAGAAAAGAACCAAAAAAUCAAAUAAUUUGUUUCAAUCAACCAUUAACCGGCGGCGAAAAGCAGUAUUAGUAGACCUUUUAAUACUAAUAAAGAAUUUGAAGAGGCUAUUCCUAAAAUACUAGGAUGCAAAGGAAGCUCCCAUUUGGUAACUGACAAUGGAAACAAGAGUGUUACAUUUGUGUAUGUAGAAGAGUCCCUAAAUCCUCAAAUAUAAUCCAGUUAGCAAGAAGGUCGCUGUUCUUGUCCAUAAUGGAAAAACCAAUAUGCGAAUGACUAAUUAUUGUUGAAUAGAUUCAUUAAACCUGGCCAAAUGAAGGAUCCUUAUCAAAGAGCCAAGGUUCAUUUCUGGUUUGCUUAUAUUGAACAGGUAUUCAUCUUGUCAUUGCCAUGUGUUAGUUCUCUUACCUAAUACUGAAUUGUUGGGACCUGCUAUAAGAACCAUGAAAGAAAAGAUUGCUUCAAAGUAUUUUGCGUUGGAUUUGGGAAAGUUGCCAACUUGCUCUGUAGAUUCCUAAUCGUUUUCAUGAAGUCAUCUUGGCCUUUAUAUGGAAGCAUUUGAUUGGCUUGCUGAAGCUGAAACUGUCAAGUUGGUACAAUAACCUAUGUACACACCCUAUAAACAAAAGAUGUGAUUUUGUCCUCGAAAGUUUUUACCCGUUGAUACAUAUUCCUAGUAAUGCAUCAAGCAGACUCUGGCUGGCAUAGAUUUUAACUUAAUGACCACUGUAGUUGUGCCAAUAAAAGAUAGUACCUGUUAACGGGUGUUGUAAUAAUUCUUACAAAUCAUCAGGUCAUUUCAUUCACAACCAAUGGUAUUGGCUUUUGAGCAUAGUCAUAGACCAGGUGUGCAUAUUUCUUAAACAAGAGAUCUUCUGGCAUCAAAGCAUCAUGUGUAUAAUUAUCUUCCUAGUUCCAGACAAGUUAAUAUCUGUUUAUGCAUCUCAUCUAAAGAUUCCAGACUGAAUACAGUGUAAUGGAAGUGCUGAGAUUGCAAUUACUAUUAGCUGUAGGAGACACAGCUAAAUCGUUAGUUACAUAUCAAAUUAGUAAGCUUACAACAGAAUUCUCGUAUGAUGUCAAGUCAAAAGAAAUUGCUUCUCUUGAUCCUCUUUCAUUUACACAAAAUGGACAAAACGGGGAGAGGGAUAGGGGUUUCGUGAGGGAUAUUAUCAAAUUUCAGUUAGCCUUUGAAAUCUACACGAUCCUGUGCUUGAGACCUUGCUGGUUACCAACCAUCUAAAUUAGUUAAAAAGUCUUCCACUUUUUUCAACUUUUCAUGCACCAAUGAUAGAACCUUGCAGUUAAUACAUAACCCAUAUCUCAGUCAGGCAUCUCUGCACUUUCCCGCCUAGCUGUUUCUGUCAAAGUAAUCAAAAACCUGAAUGGAUCGCAACUGUAUGGAUUGGCAAGGGCUGCAUGUGCCAAAAAUGGAAGCUUUCUGAGGGACCUCCCACUCAAUCCCUGACGACAAGCAAGAAAUUACAAAUUAAACAUCAUUCUUUCCCUUACGCUUCAACACUAGUGCCCCUGCUCCUCCUAUGAGUUGGCUACUGUUGUAUGCUAGCGUUGUCUCUGCAAAUUGUUAAAUACAAAUACUAAAAAGAAAAUGUUCUUCCAACUUUUUCUUACCUCACAUGCUUCUGCAGCUUCGAGCAAUUUUCUACAAAGACUUAAUGAGGAUUGAGAUUCUGGUAGCACCGUGGAAUUCAACUUCUCUUUUAAACCAGUAAAAUUUGAAAGAAUGACGUUAUGGCCAUCCUGCAGUAAUUUCAUUUUCUUUUGUAUCAGUUAACAAGGCUGUGGAUCAGGCUUAUGUUACUGAAUGCAAAAAGCCCGGAAAAAUACCUGCAUGUCAGGGUUUGACAAGAUUAUUCCAGUUCGUAGUAGCUCCUGCAAACUGGAUCUUAGAAUUUCAUAGCGUGCCUGAAGCGUUGGAGGCCCCACAUAUGCUUUAAUAUCAGCUCGGUCAACAAAGGCUACAUCUGCAGUCCAAAAUGGAGCACAUCAUUAUCAAAAUCAUGUCCUUGCAUCAAGUUUACUAGCUAAUAAAUAGAAAUUUGGUCUUACAAUACCUGGAAAACAAAUACAAUAAAAUUAUAUGCUUCUUUAAAAGAUGCAAUAGAAGAGAAACAAAAAGUGACCAGCACUGACACUGGGAAAUACCCCAAAAAAUAAAAAGAAAACAAACAGAAAGAAAGAUAUGGAAAGUCAACAUAAUUCAAAUGGAAAAAUAGGAUAUGCAGUUAUGCACAAUUUGUGUUUCCUUGCCAAAUAUAGCAACAUCUUGUCAAUUUAGAUAUUAGUAGACGUAAAAUUUCAUUGCUUAACAAUUAUUAAAAACAGCCAUUUAUCAAACUUCAAACAUAAUUUGAUCAUCCGUUGGGUUGAGUACAAUUCAUAUUCUCUUGUAUAUGUUGCUACUUCAAAACACAGGAUCAUAGAAAUGGUUGGAGAAAAUUCCAAAUCUUGACGCACUGAUCUAUUAGAGGCACUAAAAGGCUAAGCAACAAGCUAUUGCUGAUGUUUCAGCAGCAGAAGUGCUUGCUGACAAAAUAUCGAGAGAUUGGUGUUAGCUUCGAAAUUAUGAAGCAAGAUAUUAAGUUGUUUCAUAAAAAGAAGCAAAAACAAUGAGAAUGACAGAAUUAUCUAAUCCAAGAUAUUAAGUUGUUUCAUAAAAAGAAGCAAAAACAAUGAGAAUGACAGAAUUAUCUAAUCCAAAGUAUACCAAAUACCACGUCCUUACCAAUAGCAGCAGUUAUAUUGGAGGUAGUCAAUAUUAUCACAUUUGGGGAGGUCUUUAGUUUGUCCAUCUGGGUCAGUAGCGCAUUCACGACCUGACAAGCAGUUGUAAGAUCUUCUAUGAAUCAUGAGUUGUAUUCAAAUUUUUAAUAUAUUCUGCAACAGCUAUCCUGCUGUAUGCAAAUUAAAAUCUGCUCGAAUGUACAACGAGAAAAUACCCUUAUAGAAUCUGAUGGCUCAGAACCAGACAAUGCAGCCUUUCUUGCAGCAGCAAGGCUUUCAACUUCAUCUGCCAUAUUACAAGAAACAAGAAUCUAGUUACACGAUAAAAAAGUGUGAGCAUCAUAUGAUUGAAUAUCAGUAAUUGUUCUCACCAAUCAAAACAAAUACCAGGUUGUUUUCUUCUUCCACCAUUUCUUGAAUUUUUGAGAAUAGCUUUGCUACCUAAAUGAGUAGAUAGAAUUAAAUUAUUACCUGGUCAAAAUCAACCUGAAGAGGUUCAUUUAAAAAUUGCAGAAAGACUAUAAAAGCAUUUACUGCCUAAGUAAAGAGGAAAAGAAACAAAGGCGGUUACAAAUCAAAUGGACACAAGGAUACCAAUUUUUGCAGUACGCUCUUGAUACAGCACAUGAGUAACUGUUAAAUUAAUUUAUAUUCAUUUUUAUGGAUACAUUUGAACAAGUUUUAAGGAUUGUCUCGGAACUUCAACUUCAGCUAGAGUUCAAAUUAAUCAACGGUGUGCAAAAAUCAACAUUCUCGCCCACAAAAAUAACAUGAAUUCACGUCCAAGAACAUAAAUGCAGCACUUCAGGGGAGUUACUCAGCUAAACAUCAGACUAUCACAUAUUUCUUUCAAAGCAUCGAAGUUUUAGCAUGUAGACCUCAUGAAUCUUAAGAUUAACCCAAACAAAUGGAAACGAGAGAGAGAGAGAGAGAGAGAGAGAGAGCAAAAGAUUAUCUAUUUGCCUUAUAGAAUUUCCUUGAAUAAGUCAUUGAAUCUUACUGUUGCUUUUGUUAAUGAUACAAAGAGAGCAAACUGUUCAAGCACAAAACCUUGAGGCAAACCAUUGAAUACAUGCAAGAUUACCACUCAUAAGCAACAAGAGUAUAAGUUACAGAAUGUUAGUUAAGGAGCAAAACCUGCACUUACCAACUUGCCACUCUCAGAAAACCAUUUACUAAAUAAGGAAUGUGCAUUUACUUCAACCAACUGGCAUUGUGGGUAUCUGUUAUGGAUGUUGCGUAAAAUCAUAUGAGCAAAAGAGAUUUUCGCACAGGAAUAGUAAUUAAGCAAUAUGAGACCUCAUCAGAACCUGAUGCUAAAUCGUACAGAGAGCUUUUGAGCUAGUGCUUUGCAGAGAGAUGUUUUCCCUGUUCCUGGAGGUCCAUGCAGAAGAAUGAUACUGCAGACCACUCAGAUAGGAUUAGUAACAAUACAUAUUGUGGUAUAUGUACUUCAAAAAUAGUUAAUUGCUGUCGCCUCUUUUUUAUUUUUCUCCAUUCUUUUUUGCCAAAGAAGUUAUAGUCUUUUUCAAUCAGCAUCAUUACCAUAUGCACAUCUACAUCUACCAUUCCCGAGUAUUUGUCAGGCUGAGCUUUGUAAAUUGAAAUUCCAUUAGACAUUACUAGGUUUACUCUAAAACAAUUUGAUUGUGCAGUUCAAUCUUUGAACUUUCCAGUGAUCAUUUGACACAUCACUUAGUGAGAUUUUUGUCCAUAAAAUAAACAGUUCAAAAGGCUUGAGCACUAAAUUGCACAAGAACUUUGCCGAACACUUCAGCACAAAUAUUAACACAAGAUUACAUAAACAUCAAAGAGCUCAGCAAGAAUUCCUUACCGGUUCCAAGAAACAAGAAAAGGGUCAACACCCUUUUCAGUAAAAAGCAAAGCACUUGCUGCAUAACGCAAUAAUCUCUGCUUGAGACCAGAUUCAUAUAUCAAGCUGUAGAAUAAGAAAAGUCAAGUUUACUAUGCUUAUCAACAUAAUAAUAGUGAAAAAUGUGACUGUAAAAGGCAAACCUUUCCCACAUGCCAUCAAAUUCCUUUGCAGGAAGCAUCCAUUCAUUGAAGCUAGAAAGUUGGCCAUCACCAUUUAAGUCUUCACCAGGUCCUUCUUCACUUAGCUGGAAAGAAGCAACAGUCCAAAUGCACAGCAUGGAUAAGUACAUGCAGUAUCAAGAUUAAUUUUAGCAAACCUCUAAAACAUGAAUAUAAAAUUGAGCCCUCUAAAAAUAUUUAUCUUGUUAAGAUUGUAACAAUCGAGCCCUUCAUAUAUCCAUAUAUAUUCAACCUGCUCCCUUGACCUUCUGGAAUUGGUUGAAUGUUACACCGAUCUAAUUUACAAAUGACUUGACCCCACAGCAUAGCAUAAAGCUUUAGUUCAAAGAGGCCAACUUAAAACUUUGGUUCUUUAGGAGCAAAAUUGAAUCCAGAAGAAACUGAGAGCCAAAGGUCAAAUAGACGUUGGAAUGUACUCCCUGAAAGUGGAAAUCACAAUUCAUGAUUAACAACGGUCUUCAGAGAAGUGAAUGCAGAGACAGUUUCCCACCCACCCAAUCCUUCCAACCAACAAAACUCUCCAUUUGCAGGUUACAGCAAUCUAUUUCACAACAGUCAGGUCUUUGGAUGCUGCUUUAUAAUAUUCAAUCAAAUCUAAAAGCAUAUAAAAGAUUAUCUACCACUAAGACCUAGAAAUCAUAUGAUAACAUCAAAAGCAUCUAUUCUGCAUAGGAUCCGAGAAUUAUGAAUAUAAAAAAAAAUUAUUUCUUUACAAGCCAAACUGUUCAAUAUGAGUAAUCGAUAAGUUUACUUAUGAUUAAAACCAAAGAAGAGGAAGGGCAACCAGUAAGCUAAAAAUAAAUUAUCAUUACCUGAAAAACAUGCACAACGGGUUUGACUUGCCAGAACAAAAGAACAUCACGGUUAUCCAGCCAUUCAUCUACGAACACCAGAAAUCAAGCAACAAAUCAAAAAUCAUCAAAGGUACCAAAACUUCCUCUCAGAAUAGCAAGUAGACAAGGAGUUCUAAUGACAAAACAACUUUCCAAUCCUUCAGCAUUUCUUUACCACUUUUAGCAGAAAUUUACAAACAGAUUCCCUUGACUUUUCUGCUUCUUAAACCCAGAAUGUAGUAGCAUUACCCAAAAAAAGAAAACCCAAAAAUUAAAUCCUACCUGUGUCACAAACUGAAAUGCGUUGUACAUUCUCAAUAAGAAAUGAAUCAUCCAAUGGCACAGGAAUGGGCCCAUCAACAUAGCUCAUAUUCCUAUGUUCCAGCAUCCUGUGAAAUAUUUAAGCAACAAAAAGAUAACUUCUAAAUCAAAUUGAAAUAAAUUCAGCUCAAUCUUAAAAACCACCAUAAACUCACUCUUCAGGAUUUUGUUCAAGUAUCCACCUGAAUACAAUAUCUCAAAAGUAAUUAUCUUUUCUUUUUAAAUGCAUUUUUAGCAAUCGAGCCACAGUAUAUCAGAGUAAAUAUAUAGUAAAAUUCUAUAACUGAAACUCCCAAAAAAAAGUCCCAAAAAGUCCCAAAAAGGUUUGCAAUUUAUCCUACUUUGGAGCAAAUACAUUUUAAUAAUUCAAUAGUCUGGACUAGAAAUAAUUCACUUAGGAGUACCUUUCAACGGCAGCACGAACAUCUUCAAUACGAGCCGUGCUAGUUGGUUUCAGACAAACUUCAACUGAAAAAAUACAGGGCCAAAAGAUGAAAACAAAUAAAACUAAUUAACAUCCCAAAAAAGUUCAAAAAUUUCACUAAUUAAAUGAAUUACAAAUGCUAACCUGAAACAGGAAUCUUAUCGUCGGCUAUUGCCGGAGGAGGUUGAGGAGACGGAAGGGGCGGUGGAAGAGAAAGCGGUGGCUCCAAAACGUUGCCGUUUUGUUGAUCAACAACGUCAUGCCCAAGUUCAGCAGCGGCAUCUGGAAUUGAAAUAUCCAUUGGGGCGCUGCUCAUUUUCUUGCUUUUAUUUCUUGAAGUUUUAUCUUUUGUUUCUACAUGCGGAGAUUGGAAUUCGAGAAAAGUUGGAGAAAUCAAAGAAGGAAUCCUGGGGUUUUUCCCUGAGAAGUAUAAACCCUAGUGGAGGAAGGGCUAGAAAUUUGAGAUGGGGAAAUGGAAAGGGAAAUUUUGAGCGCGGGAAGAAUCUCUGGUAAAGACAUUUAAAGGAGGCUAUGGUUUUGGGCGUACUGUGGUGGGUGCAUGGACCGAAUCUUAGAACUGCAGUAAGAUUUAAACACGUAGAAUCAAAGAAACCAUAAACCAAUGGCUUAGAUGGAAAAUGUUUUGCUCUAUUUUUGUGUGAAAAUUUUGGACAAUAUUAAUUAAUUUUCAAAACUUUGAUAGGUUGAAAAAAAUUUAUAAGGAUUGACCAAAGUUAUCGAUUUCAAAAGAAUAGUUGAAGAGCGCACACUUUUGGCAUUUUUUGUGAUCAUUUUUUAUUGAUAAAAUUAUAUCGACCAAAUAUCCAAAAACGUUAUAAAGAAUUUAAUUUUAAAAAAUUCGAUGGCAUAACAAUUAAGUGUAAAAUAGCUAAGGAGAUAUUUUUAUAUGAAGUGUAUGAGUUUUUUUGGCAAAAAUAUAUGAGUUUUUGUUCCCAUUUUGAAGACAAAUCGUGUACCCAUUUUUUACUUUUGCAUGUAUAAUAAGAACAUUAUUGAUCCUGCAUUCAAAUCUUUCUUUCCCUCCCUAUGUCUUAAAAUAUCAUCCCUUCUCUAUUGGAAAAUGUUAAAAAAGAAAUUACGUCAUCAUUGCUCGUUGUUUUUAACACAAUCUUACUGAUGUGUAGUUCUUUAGCAUAUAGAUUUUGUAGCUUAAUAUUUAUAAAAUCCAAUUCAGAAAAAGAUUAUGUUCUCACAGAUUUACGUGGUAUGAAUAAUGAAAACAAUGUCCAUAGAGAAAUGUGUUCAUUUGAUGCUGUUGUCCUUCUCUACUUAGAGUUUCUUUUGGAGCUAUAUCCGAAGUUGGAAUAAAUAAAAAUGUGGAUUUGAAAAUUUUGGAGGAUUUAAAACAAAAAUUUGUCCUAGCUAUUAUACACAUUAGGAUUGGGAAAGGGUUGAAUUGAGUCAAAAGGUGAGAGUGUUAUAAAUAAGAAAUUUUGGAUUCAAGACCUCUCACUUACGACAAAAAAAAAAAAAAAAAAGGAUUGAAGAAUAAAUUAAUUGUAGAAAGUGUUCAUUCUACCUUAAGGCAUUACUCACUUAAAUAAAACCUUUGACAGAUUUCGCCCAUUUACUACAAUAAACUAUGUGCAGACAACUCAUUUUGUUUUUUCUUCAGUGUGGCUAUAGAGAUCAAAAUUGUAACUACAUAACUUCUAAUUGUAUAAGAUUGACGAUUAUUUAAAAAAAAAAAAAGAUUGAUGAUUUUUUUUUUUUUUUUUUUUGCAAUUUGACAAAAUAAUGAUGUACUAUGUACUACCCUUUAUAAAGGCAAUGAGGCCAUAGACUAUUGAUAAAAACAACUGAGGUUGAGUUCUAAGAAUUAGAGAUUCAUUUUAUUUUAUUUUUAUUUUUUGGUAAGCUAAGUCUUGGAGGUUAGGAAAUCUAACCAUGCAUUAGUGUUCAUCCUACUAUUUGUAGGUUAACUUGUAACAUCAUAAAUGACCCUACCAUUGUGGGUUUCUGCCACCCUCUUUUGUCUGUACUUUGUACGACCUUUCAUGUUCUCAUACAUCAAAAGUAUAGUACAACAAUCUAAAAGACAAAGCAAGGUAUCCAUGUCUUACAUGCAAUUAUGCUAUUCCUUUGGUCCAUUCAUGACAACAUGCUAUUCCUUUGGUCCAUUCAUGACAACACAUUGACAGAAACUCAUCUUUGGUCCUUAAGGUGGACGCGGGGCUGGAGCGGUUAUCAGAACAAUCGCUCCGGAAGGUGUAACAUCAUUUGUACAUGGUGUAACAACUGCUCCGAAAGGUAUAAUAUCAUUUGUACAUGGUGUAACAUCAUCUGUACAAGGUAUAAUAAUAGAACAACAGCGAGUAACAUUAAAACAACAUUUUUGUGGGUCCCACACGGCGUGAAAAUCGAGUUACAAGACGUGAUCUGAACCGCACAAAUUUUUGAGACCUCAUCCAAGCCGUGAACUGCCUGGGACGGUUGUCAGGCCCCUCGUCCCCUCGUCCCCUUAAGGUGUCCUAAAGAUGACAAAAUUCAGUUGAUCAGUUUGUCAUCCCCACAUUUCUGCAGCUCCAAAAUGAGAGGCUCAAAUAGUUCCAGGAUAAUAACAUGGCCCAUGCAGCACUAACCAAUUUCUUGACUCCAAAAUCAAUUAAAUUGCUACCCUAUGAAGAAAAAGCAGCAACAGCAAGAGCAGCGUGUUCAUGAUGGUGAAAACGAACAUGAUCUGGAGAUCAUCAAGGCAGUAGCACAAGCAUGGUAUGCCAAUUCCAGCAGCUCUAAGUCAUCACCAAAUGAAUUUGAUGCCCACCGGCGAAAUUUCAAGGGCAAGCCUAGCAGAUUCAAGCUUGAAGCUGCAAGAAAAGCAUCAU
rnacentral:lncRNA from 1 species